AGCGAACGCUGGCGGCAGGCCUAACACAUGCAAGUCGAACGAACCUUUCGGGGUUAGUGGCGGACGGGUGAGUAACACGUGGGAACAUGCCUUUAGGUUCGGACUAACUCAGGGAAACUUGUGCUAAUACCGAAUGUGACCUUCGGGCGAAAGAUUAAUCGCCGUUAGAGCGGCCCGCGUCUGAUUAGCUAGUUGGGUGAGGUAAUGGUUCACCAAGGCGACGAUAAGUAGCUGGUCUGAGAGGAUGGGCAGCGACAUUGGGAGUGUGACACGGCAGAAAAUCCUACGGGAGGGAGCAGAGGGUAAUCGAGCGCAGUGGGCUAAAUCCUGACGCAGCCAUGCCGGGUGAAUGAUGAAAGUCUUAGGAUUGUAAAAUGCUUGCACCUGUGACGAUAAUGACGGUACCCGGAGAAGAAGCCCCGGCUAACUUCGUG
rnacentral:rRNA from 1 species